UCCUUUCUCCUCCCCAGAAAUCAGACUUCCGGGAUAUUAUGUGGCUCAAAGUCUCAAAUUUCUAACAUGUGGUUGAUCUUUCUUGCAUGGACAAUCCAUAUUCAGAGGCACCUCAUUCGCACAAACACAGGUGUGGUCUGAGAGGCCCAUCAUGAAUAACCAAAAUUAUGUACACAAACAGAACAAGACAGGACGAACAGGACAAGCUAAAUAUCACAUGAGAAGUUCAAACAGUCUCUUCUACGUGAUGAGGUCACUGGCAGGAGCUCCCAGAAAUGGACUGAGAGCAUCAGCCAGCCUCCUGAAACCAAGAGAGGGCCACACUCCUAGAACAUCAAGAGCCAAUAAUCAUUUCCAGGCUUCAAACCCUGUUGUAAGCUCUUGAGAAGCUCAUAGACCUUGGUUCUGUGCCCAGAGGUCCCGGAGGACCUGUUGAAGAGAUUUUAUGGGAGGCGCCUGAGAAUUUGGUCAUUACUGACUCCUUUGUCCCAAUUUUCCACCCCUACCUCCCCACGGUCACUUAUGGUGGUAGCAAGGGCAGUCCACUGAAGACAACAUCCCCGGAUGUAGUCACCAGAAUGCAUUUCCUAUUUCCUCCCUCAGCCACUGUCUGAGUGGUGAGCUUAUUUUGUUCAUUGUCGUAUCCAGCCUAGGAGAG